rnacentral:rRNA from 1 species
UACGGGGGGGGCAAGCGUUGUUCGGAAUUACUGGGCGUAAAGGGCUCGUAGGCGGCCUAACUAAGUCAUACGUGAAAUCCCUCAGCUUAACUGGGGAACUGCGUUGUGAUGACUGGAUGGCUUGGAUUUGGGAGAGGGGAUGCGGAAUUCCAGGUGUAGCGGUGAAAUGCUUAGAUAUGACAUAGAACACCAAUUGCGAAAGGCAGCUCACUACACAAUCAUUGACUCUGAGGCACGAAAAGCGGUGGGGAUCAAACAGG